AUGCUGAAUUAUUUAAUUGAGGCACAAGGAGGAGUUCCUGAACCAGAGAAACCUCAAAUCCAGGUAUCUAUUCCCAUUCAUCAAAGCACUGAACAAGGUCUCAACAAUAAAUCCCCAAACUGUCCAUCAUUUCAGCUCCAUGUGAAUAUUGGAGUGGAAUCUGGGUUAAAUAGAACAGAAACAAAAAUUUCACAGUCACUUAUCCCAGGUAAGCAGUCACAACCUGGGGACAGCCCCCAAAUCCUUGAAACCAGGCCCUUAGUUACAUCUUUGGGCACUCCACCUCCCAAAAGUUUAGGAGCUGACAUAAUUCAGGAGGAAACCACUUUACUGCAGAAGGAGCCAAAACAUGUCCUGGAACCUAAUAUAGAGCAGAGGGUCAUAGAUCUUCCAGAAAAAAGGAUACAACAGCAUAAGACCCACGUGACUAAUGUGGAGUUGACACCAAGGCUACCAUAUCAAGUUGCAGAUAGCAUAAAGGUAACUCCUUUGGCAUUACUUCAAGUCAUGGAUUCAAUGGGGCUGAUCCCAGAAUCACAUUCAGAAGUGAUAGAAUCUGUGGGUUUGUUCUCACAGCCACCAGACAAAGUUGGGAAACCAAUGGAAACCCUGAAAAAAGUGAAUGUAAGCACAAAACCAUCAUAUCAAGUCACUGAAUCAGUGGAGGUAACACCAAGUCCUCAGCAUCAAGUUAUGAAAUCAAAGAUAACCUCAAGACCACCGAAUCAAGUCACAGAUAAUACGAAGGUAACUCCUGUAGCAUUGCUUCAAGUCAUGGAUUCUAUGGGGAUGAUUAAUAAGUCACAUGCACAUAUCAUAGAAUCAGUGGGAAUAACCCCAAGAACAUCAUCUCAAGCCAUGGAAUCAGGGGAAAUCAACACAUUGUUGGACCAUGAAGUCAUACCACCAGGAAAGAUGAGUCCAAAGGCACAACAUGCAGUUGUGGAAACUGUGGAAAUCACUGUAGGACUGCAGCCUGAAGUUAGUGAUUCAGUGGACAUAACCUCAAAGCCACCAAGUCAAAUCAUAGAACCACUGAAGGUUCCUUCAGAGGCAGUAUGUCAAACCACAAGAUCACUGGAAAUGAUCUCCAGUCCAUUGCAUCAAGUUAUGGAUUACACAAAAGUAACUCCAGUGGCACUAUUACAAGCUAUGGAUUUCAUGGGGAUAAUUCCACCAGCACAGCCACAUAUUAUAGAAUCUGGAGAUUCACAAUCUAAAAUUGCAAAUUUGGCCCCAGGAGCAACUCAGCCAGAUGGUUUGACUUCUUUUAGCUCUCCUCCUACUAUUGGUCCACCUGGAGUUGUAGAAUCUGUGGGUUUACCCCCAAAGCCCCCACUUAAAGUUACAGAAUCAGUAGGGAUGAUUCCAAUGCCAUCACAUCAAUCCAUACAUUCUUUAAAGGUAGCUCCAGUAGCACUGGAGUCACCCAUGGGAAUGAUCAUAGCACCACAAUCACAAGUUGCGGAAACUCAGGAUUUGACCACAAGGCCAGUAUCUCAAGUCAAGGAAUCUCUGGAGUUGACUCCUGGGUCAUGGAUUCAAGUGCUAGACUCUGUGGAGAUGACUCCACAACCAUAUCAUCAAGGCACAGAUACUAUGGAAUUAACCCCAGGGCUACCUCAUCAAGUCAUGGAAUCUCCAAGGUUGACCCAGUGGCAUCAAAUCUUAGAAUCUUCAGAGAUGAGUCCAAGGCAAAGCCGUCAAAUUAUAGAAACUAUGGAGUUGGCCUCUGACCCUGUAAUCAGAAAUCUGACUGAGUCGACACAGUCACAGCAUCAAAUAAUGGAACCUUUAGGGACAGUCCCAAGGUCACUGGGUCAAAGUACAGCAUCUAAGGGAAUGAGCCAAAAGCCACUGCAUCAAGUCACAGAAUCUGCAGGAAUGACCACUCCAUCACUGCUUCCAGGUGUAGAAUAUUUGGGGGUGAAGCCAAUGCCACAACUUAAGGCUAUGGAUUCUAUGAAGUUAUCCCCAGGAUUGCAAAAUGUAAAAUCUAUAGACAUAACCCCAGGUCCAGUCCCACAAAUGGUAAAAUAUGGACAGCUAAUCCCAACUGUGAACCCUAGAGAAUUGGUCCCAGAACUUCAACUGCAGAUUGUAAAAUCUAAUGAGUUGGCCCCUAUUCCACAGCUGGAAAGUGAGAAUUCUGUGCAGUUAGCCCCAGGGUCUCAGCUUCAAGGUGUGAAAUCUAUUCAUUUAACCCUAGGAACACAACAACAACGUGGAAAAUCUGCUGAGUUAGCCCCAGCACCACAGUUGCAAAAAAGGAAAUCACUAGAUUUGAACUCCAGUUCACGGUUGCAAGGUCUGGAAUAUGUUCAUUCGGCCCUACCACCAGAGUUUCCAGAUAUAAAAGCUGUGGAGUUGACCCUAAGACCACUACAGAAAGAUAUGAAAUCUGUGGAGUUGGCCCCAAAGCCAUGGUUACAAGAUGAAAGAUCUAAGGAGAAAGCCCCAGUACUAUUGCUUAAAGAUAUGAAAAUUCCUCAAAUGGUAGGAUGUAGAAAGUUGAUUCCCAAAACACAGGUAGGAGGUAUGAAAUAUGAGGAGCCGAUCGCAGCAGCACACAUUCAAGCAGUAAAAUCUGUAGAGCUGAACCUCAUGCCAAAUCAUCAAGCCAGAGAACGUGAAGGAUUGACCCCAUGGCAUCAAACUUUAGAAUCUUCAGAAAUGAUCACAGAGCCGCGAUAUCAAGGAGCAGAAGCAGAGUUGACCUCUGACACUUGUCACCACAGGAAAGAAUCUAUGGAGUUGAAAAAAUCAUCUUUAAGAAGUACUCCAGGGCCAUUGAGUCAGACUUCAGAAUCUAUGCAGGUGAACUCAGUGCCAUUCCAAAGUGCUCUUGAGACAAUGCUCCAAGGUGUAAAAGCCUUGGAGACUCGAGGGUCUCAACACAUAAUACAAGAAUCUCCAGAGUUGGUACCAGGAUCAGAGAUGCAAGGAAUGAACCCAGAAGUGUUGAACCCAGAGUCCCAAGGUAUGAAGUUUGUUCAUCUGAAUCUAGGACCAUAUUCAGAAUUUAUGAACUAUAAGGAGUUGACCUCAGAACCACAAUUUCAAGGUGUGAAAUUUGUGCCAUUGACCUCAGAACUGCAGCCCCAAAGUACAAAACCUGAGGUGUUGACUCUAGGCCCAUUAAUGCAUGGUAAUACAUUUAUGGAUUUAACUGUACCACUGGAAGAAUCUAGGAGGUUAAUUCCUGAAACACACUUACAUGUUGAAUCAAGGAAACUAACCAUGGAACCACACUUACAAGCAAUGAAAUCUGUGGGUCCAACUUCUAGACCAAGGCAUCAAGACACAGCAUCUGCAGAGUUAUAUUCUGAGACCUGGCCACAAGAGGAGGAAUCUGUGAAAUUAAUCCCACAGCAAGUCGUGGAAACUACUGGGAUGAUGCCCAGGCCAUGUUUUCAAAAAUUUUCAGAGAUGACUCCGGGGCCAGGCUAUCAAGACACAGAAACUGCGAGGCUGGUUUCUGAGGCUUUGCUCCAAGUGGCAUUAACACAAAAACCAACAGGUCAAGUUAUAGAAUCUACAGGAAUGACUCUAAAACCACACCUUCAAGUUUUUGAGCCUUCAGAGAUAUCCCUAAGGUCAGAAUAUGAAAACACAGAAUCUUUUGGGUUGGCAUCGUUUCAAGUUGAAAAUAUCCAGGAGACAAUGCCAGUACCACCAUAUUCAGUAAAAGGAUCUCCAGAAUUGACUUUAGGACCAGGGAUGCAAUAUGAGAAAUCAGAGACACUAAUGCAAAAUUUGAAAUCUGUGACGUUAACCCCUGAGUCAUCCCCAUUAGUGGUAGGAUCUAAACAAUUUAUCACAGGACCAAAACUACAUGUUCUGGAGCCACAGUUCCAGGGAGUAAAGUCUAUGCAGCUGGAUCCAGAGCCACAAUUACAGGAUGUGGAAUACGUUAAUUUAAUCCAACAACCAGCUACUACUGGAAUGGUAGAAUCUGAGAAGCUGGUACAAGAACCAGUACUACAAAGUAUAAUAUCAGAGGAAUUGACUAAGGGGGCACAGCUUCAAGGUGUGAAAUUGACCCCAGGGCCACAUUUGCAAAGUGUCAGAUUUUCAAAGUCAUCGCCAGGGCCACUUCUUCAAGGAGAAAAAUCUGUAGAUUUAAUCUCAGGGUCACUACAUCAUAGUGUGAAAUCUGAUGAACUGACCCCAGGUUCCCCAAUGCAAGAAAUCAAAUUGUCAGAUUUUAUCCCAGGGCCGAAGCAUCAAAGUGUUAUGUCUGUACAAUUGUCUCCAGAACCACAAACUCAAGGUAUGAAAUUUGUGGGACAAAACUCAGGACCAUGCUUGCAAGAUGUCAGGUUUUCUGAUUUGACCUCAGCACCAAAUCAUCAAGGUUUCAAACAUGUGCAAUGUAUACCGGGAACACAGCUUCAAGAUAUACAGUCCUUAGGAUUUGUAACAGAAUUAUCUUUGCAAUCAAGCCAAGGGCUCUUGAGUGAAAAUAUGAAAUCUCUUCUGUCUAUUGAAGGAUCACAGUUUCACAGCAUGGAAUCUAUGAAAUUGACCUCAGAACUACAGUUUCAAGGUGUGGAGUCUCAGGAAUUGAACCUAGGACCAAGACAGCAAGAUGUCAAAUUUUCUGAACUGACUUCAGGGCCAAAGCUUCAAGGUGUCAAAUUUGGGGAGCAAACCCCAGGAUCAGUGUUUCAAGGUGUGAAUUCUGUGGAGAUGACUCCAGAUUUAGGGCUUCAAGAAUCUAAAUUAGCAAAGACGUCUCCAGGGCCUCAAGAUAUAAAACAGGUGGGGCUUAACCCAGGGCCAUGGCUACAAGAUGUCAAAUUUUGUGAUCUGACAUCAGGAAUUCAACCUCAAGGUGUGAAAUCUUCAGACUUAAACUCAGGGCCACAACUCCAAUAUGCGAAAUUUUUUGAGUUGUCCCCAAAGCCAAAGAUGCAAGGAGUAAGAUCUGUGGGGUUGUCCCCAGGACCUCAAAAGCAAGUGGUCAAGCCUGAGAUGUUACCAGAGACACUGUUUCAAGGUGUAAAAAAUUUAGUGAUGGAUCAAAUGUCAAAUCUGGAAGGUAACGUUUCUUACAAAAUUGUCUCCCAGCCACAGAAACCAGAUGCAAAAUCUAUGGAGUUGACUCCUGAGUCACAGUUGCCAAGUGUAAACUAUUCUGAGUUGACUAGAAGACCACAGUUUCAAGGUAUAAAAUCUUCUGAAUUGAUCCAAGGGCCACAGGUGGGAGGUGUGAAACCAAUGGAGCUGACCCCAGGCUCAAAACUUCAAGGUUUAAAAUCUGAGUUGUUGAUCUCUGAGCUGAAAGAUGUGAAAUCUAUGGCCUUAACUACAGGACAGUGUCUAAAAGGUAUGAAAUCUAUGUUGCUAACCCCCAGUCCACAGCUGGAGGGUGAGAAAUCUGUGGAGAUAACUGCAGUACCAUGGAUAGAACAUGUCAAAUCUGUGAAAAACACCGAAGAUACCAAGCUUCAAGGUGCAAAAUCUGACUUGAUUCUGCAUGCAAGAAUUCAAGAAUCCAAAGCUGUGGAAACUGUGGAAUUGAAAUUUGGGCCAAAGAUGCAAGGUGAGAAAUCUGUGCCUUUUGCACCAGGGCCAUUGCUCCAAGGGUCUGAACUGCAAGGUGUGAAACCUGAGGAACUGACUUUAGAGCCACAAACGCAAGAUACAAAAUUUGUCGACAGUACCCCAUGUUUAAAGCAUCAAAAUUUAAAAUCUGUAGAGGAAACUCUAGAUUCAGAGCAGCAAUGUGUAAAAUCUGUGAAGUUGACCCCAAGGCUAAAGAACCAGGAAGUAAAAUCUGUGAAAGUGACCAGAAGACCAAAGUUUCAAGGAGUAAAAGCUGUGGAUUUAGCCCCAAGGCAACAGUUUCAAGGGACGGCACUUGCAAAUUUAAUUUCUGGACGGGAACAGGAUGGCACGAUAUCUGUAAUCUCACCAAAGCAGCAAUGUGUGAAUUCAGAGCAAUUGAAGAGAGGGGCUAAGUCAGAUGAUGGGAUGUCUUUGGAGUUAAGUCCAGAGCUAAAACUUGAAGGUAAAAAAUUAGUAGACCUCAAUUUUGAGUUACAGUUUGAAAGUAUGAAAUCAUUUGAAUUGACUUCAGAAUCAAAUAUUCAAGGUUUAAAACCUAAAGAAUUCAAACUUGAACCACUUGAACCACAGUUGCAAAGCAUAAAGUCUCCUAAGUUGACCCCAGGGCCACCGUUGCACCAAAUAAAACCCUCAGAGUCAGCUUCAGAACCACAACUUUGUGUAAAAACUGCUGAGUUAAAACAAGAGCCACUGCUUGAAAGUAUGAGAUGUAUUCAGUGGAUACCAGGACCUAAGUUCCAAGCUGUGAAAUCUGUAGAGUUAAAUCUCGGGUCACAGUCUCAAAGUGUUAAAUCUGUAGGGUUGAAAUCUUCGAUACAGUUAAGAGAUAUGAAGUCAUCUGAAUUGACUCUAGGGCCAAAAACUCAAGGUGCAACAUAUACAGAGUUCAACCUUGGGCCACAGCUGCAGAACGUGAAAACCCCUGAGGUGCUUCCAGGACCACAGCUGCAAAAAGGGAAGGCUUUGGCAUCAACCUCAGAGCCACAGCUUCAAGAUGUAAAAACUAUUGAGUUAAAAAAAGAGCCACAGCUGGAAAGUAUGAGAUGUAUUCAGUGGAUACCAGGACCUGAUUUCCAAGGUGUGAAGUCUAUAGGGUUACAAUCUCAAGGUGUCAAGUCUGUAGGGUUGAAAUCUUUGAUACGUUUAAGAGAUAGAAAGUCAUCUGUGUUGACUCCAAGGCCAAAGCUCCAAGAUACAGGAUCUUUGGCAUCACUCCAGGAACAUCAGCCUCAAGAUUGCGAUUUGAAACCUUGUCUACAGGUUAGAAGUGUGAAAUCACGUGAUCUGACUUCAGGGUCAAAGCUCUGUGAUAUGAAAUCUAUGCCAUUGAAAUCUAGGCUUUGUGUGCAUGAUAGGAAAUCUCCCAAAUUGACUGCAGAACCAAAGCUUCAAGAAGUGAAACCCUUACAGUCAUCCCCAGGAGCACAGCUUCAAGUUGUGAAGUCUCUAGUGCUUACAGAAGAGCCACAGCUUCCUGACAUGAAAUCUGGGGUAUUAAGCCAAGGGUCACAAUUUCAAAGCAGUACAACUAUAGAGUUGAACUCCCCACUACACUUGAAAUGCAUGAAGUCAUCUGAGUUGACUCUUCAGACAAAGCUUCAAGGUAUGAAAUCUGAGAAUUUCAACUCAGGGUCACAGUGGCAAGAUCUAAAAUCUUCUAAGUUGUCACCUGAGAUAAAGUCCCAAGAUAUGACAUUUACUGAGUCAAAUCCAAGUUCACAGUUGGAAGGUAUAACAUUUUCUAAACUGACUGCAGGGACAAAGAUUCAAGGUACCAAAUGUACAGAUUUCAACCUUGGGCCAUCAUUACAAGGUGUGAAUUCUUCUAAAAGGACCUCAAAGACAAAGCUUCAAAAUGUAAAACAUAAAGAAAGCUGCCCCAGUCCCCAGGUGCAAGUUGUGAAAUCUGACCUGAGCCUGGGAUCAAAGCUUCAAAAUGUGAAAUUGGUGUUCAACCCUGAGCCACAAUUUCAAGGAGUGAAAUGUUCUAAAUUAAUCUCAGAAACAAAGUUUCAAGAUGUGGAAUCUGCGAAGUUCAAACCUGGGCCACAGCUGAGAGGUGUGAAAUCUUCUGAACUGAUACUAGGGACAAAACUUCAAAAAGUGAAAUCCAUGGAUUUCAAGUCAGGCCCACAGUUGCAAGAUAUGAAAUCUUCUAGGUUGAUCAUGGGUAUAAAACUUCAAGAUGUAAAAUCUAUGAAUUUCAAGUCUGGACCACACUUGCAGGAUGUGAAAUCUUCUCAAGUCAUCUCAAGGGAAAAGUUUCAAGGUGUGAAAUCUGUGGAAUUGAAAUCUAGUCCAAAGUUACAAGGUGAGAAAUCUUCUGAUUUGACCCCAGGGAGGAAGUUUUCAGGUGUGAAAUCAGGCUCACAGUUACAAGAUGUGAAAUGUUCUGAGUUGAUCAUGGGUAUAAAGCUUCAAGAUAAAAAAUCUGCAGGGUUCAGUUCUAGAUCACACUUUCAAGGUCUGAAAACUUCUGAAGUGAUCCCAGGGCCAAAGCUUCAAGAAGUGAAAUCCUCUGAGUUCAACCAUGGUCCAAAGCUACAAGGUGGGAAAUCUGAUUUGACUCAGAAGAGGAAGCUUCCAGGUGUGAAAUCUGUGGAGUUCAACCCUGGACCACAGAGACAAGGUGGGAAAUCUGAUUUGAUGCUAGAGUAUAGGCUUCAAGAUUUGCAAUCUGUUGAGUUAAAACCUAUUCCACGGUUACAAGGUGUAACAUCUUCUGAGGUAACACCAAAAACAAAGCUUCAAAGUGGAGAAUCUGUGGAGUUCCUUACCAGACCCAUGCAGCAAGAUAUGAAAUCUCUUGAAUUGACUCUAGGUGCAAAGGCCCAAGAUAUGAAAUCUUUGGGGUUUGAGUCAGGCCCACAGUUACAAAAUAGGAAAUUGCCUAUGUUGACACCAGGGGCACACCUUCAAGGUAUGAAAUCUAUGAAAUUCAACCCUGGGGCAAAGUUCCAAGGUGCAAAAUCUCCUGAGUCCAUAAAGCUUCAAAUAAUGAAAACCACAGAGGUCAACCGCGACCUAGAAUUCCAGGUUGCAAAACCCUCUGAGUUAGCCUUGGAAUCAAAGAUUUGCAGUGUGAUAUCUUCUGAGUUCAAAGCUGGGAAGCAGUGGCAAGAAGAGAAAUCUUUGAAGUUGAAACCAUGGCCAGAGCUUCAGAGUGUGAAAUUUGUGGUCUACAAUCCUGGACCACAUUUGCAACAUAUAAAAUCUUCAGAAUUAUGUAAAGAGACAAAGCUUCAAGAUGUGAAAUCUAGGGAAUUUAAUCCUGAGCAACAGUUACAAGAUGUGAAAUCUUCUGAGUUAUGCCAGGGAUCAAGGCUUCAAGGUAUGCCAUCAUUAGAGUUCAAUCCUGGGCCACAGUUACAAGAGAUAAAAUCUGAGUUGUGUACAGACAUGAAGCUUCCAUAUGAGCAAUUUCUGGAAUUCAAGCAUCAGCCUAAAUUACAAGGUGGGAAAUCCUCUGAAUUGAAUCCAGGGCCACAGCUUCAGUGUGUAAAUGUUAGGGCAUUCAGCACUGGGCCACAAUUGAAAGAGCCACUGCUUGAAGAUGUAAAGUUUGGGAAGAUAAACAAAGAGCCAUUGCUUUGUGAUGCAAAUUCUGUGAAACUGAUUUCAGGCUCUGAGCUGCAGAACUGGAAAUGUGAGAUGUUUGCACUAGAGCCAUGUUUAAAAGAAAUGAAAUCUGUGGCGUUAAAUCCAGGGCCACAUCCUCAAGGUAUGAAUUCUGGGGACUUGCCCUCACACCUCAGGCUGCACAGUGUGAGAUCUGUGGUGUUUGCACCAAAGCUGUGUUUUCAAGAUGUGAAAUCUCUGGAGUUGAAACCAAGGCCACAACCUCAAGAUGUGAAUUCUAAGGAUUUGAUUUCUUGCCUCAGGCAGAAAUCCGUGGUGUUUGAAUCAGAGCCAUGUUCUCAAGAUGUGACAUCUUUGAAGUCAAACCUAUUGCCACAGCCUCAAAGUGCUAAUUCUUUAGGGUUGUCAUCAGGUCUAAGGUCACCAAGUGUUAACUCUGAGGUCUUUGCACCAGAACCAUGUUUUCAAGAUGUGAAAUUCGUAGAGUUGACACCAGGGUCCCAACAGCAAGGUAUGAAUUGCCGAGAGUUGAUUUCAGGAUGGCAAGGUAUGAAAUCAGUGGUGUUGGCACCAGAGCCAAAUAAGAAGUUCAUACCAGGACCAAUGUUGAGUAGUGUUAAAUUUUCAAAUUUGUCUCUAGAAUCACAGCAACAAGGUGAGAAACCUUUGGAGUUUACUCCAGAACCAAAGUUUCAAAGUAUAAAACAUGUGAAAUUGUCUUCAGUAUCUCUGCAACAAGAUAUAAAAUCUGCAGAGUUACCACCGGGGUCACUGCUUCAAAGAACAAAAUCUGAGGAGCUAACUCCAAAAAGAAGCUAUCAAAUCACAGACUCCUCUGAGAUAAUCCCUAGGCCAGAGCUUCAGUUUGUAGAACAUGCAGAGAUGAUCCCAACACCAAAGCAUCAGAUCUCUAAAUCUGUGAAUUUGAUUUCAAUACCAGUUUAUCACAUCACAGAAAGGUUGGCACAUCAAGGCAGAGAAACUGUAGAAAAAUCUGUGGGGUUCACCCCAAAGCCAACAAGUAAAGCCAUGGAAUCUUCAGGAGUGCCUCUAAGGCUAGAUCUUCAAGUACCAGAAUCUGUUGAUCUGACUCCUGUGCUAAGAAAGCAAGACUCUAAAUCCUUAGAGUUAACCCUAAAGAAAAUCCCAGAAACUCUAGAGUUGCUCUCUCAGUCAUGGCCUCAAGUUAAGGAUUUGGGGGAGUCACAUACAAGGCCACUGCAGCAAGUUGUAGGAUCUGAAGAGAUGACACCAGAGCCCAAGCAUCACACUACAGAAACUAUGGGGUUGACCUCCAAGGCAGGGCCAAAAGGGAAGGAAUUCUUUGGAAUGACCCCAAAGCCAAUAAGUAAAACCACUGGAUAUGCAGAGAGAGUUCUAAGGCCCUAUCCUCAAGCACUAGAAUUUGUGGAGAUGAUCUCUGAGAAAAGACUGCAAAGGGAAGAAUUGGAAGCACUGACUACAAAGUCAUUACAUCAUGUCCCAGAAUCUCCAGAGGUGACACCAGGGCUAGGAUAUCAAGUUCCUGAAUCUGUGGGUUCAACCUCUAAGCAAUGGCUUCAAAGAGAGGAAUCUUUAGAUUUGCCUCCAAAGCAAAGAGGUCAAGUUGCAGGACAUGCAGAAUCUGGAGAGCUCACAUCUGAGACAUGGCAGCAAGGGGAUAGAUCAAUGGGGCUGACAGAGUCACAGAAUCAACGCAUGAAAUAUUCACAGACAGCUCCAGGACUACGGAGUCAAAUUACAGAAUUUAUGAGGAUUACUCCAAAGCCACUAGAUCAAGUCACAGGAUCUACAAACAUGCAGCUUCAAGCUGCUCAACCAAUAGGAAUAACCCCAGUAGCCCCCCCAAAAGUUAUUGAAUAUGUGAAAGUGACUCCUGGGCCACCACUUCAGGUUGUGAAGUCUGUAGCAUUAACACCAGGGCCAGCCUCUCAAAUGGUAGACUAUGUUGAGUUGACUCCAAAACUGCAACAUGUGAGACCUUCUGAGUUUACCCCAGGGCUAUUGUUGCAAAGUGUAAAAUCAAAGGAAUUAACCACAGAGCCAAAACACCAAAUUUUGGAAAUAAUGAAGUUGGCAGGGUUUCAAAUUGUAAAGACUGUGUUAAUCCCAGGGCCACCACUUCAAAUUGUAAAAUCUGAGGAAUUAGCACCAGGACCAAUUCCUCAGAUUGUAGAACCAAUAGGAGUAGCUUUAGGAUCAGCUAUUGAUUGUUUGGAUUUAUUCCCAAGGCCACAUCUUCAUGAAAUGGUAGAACCUGUAGAAUUAACUCCAAGGCCAAAUACCGAAGUAAAAUCUGCAGAAUUACUCUCACAGUCAGCAUUUUCAUUUGAGGAACCUAGUGUGUUCACUCAUGAACAAGGGCUUCAAGCUGUGAAAGCAAUAGGGACAAAAACAGGGCUUCCUCAAAGCAUGGAAUGUAAGGAUUUGAAUCUAGCACAGGUAUAUCAGAAUAGGGAAUCUGAGGAUUUUAUGUCAAUAGAGAAGUUACAAAUAGGAAAUUAUUUCUCUAGAUUUCUACAGAACUCUUCAAACUCACUCAUCCCAAGCUCUGUCGAAGCAUCUGAAUUAGGAAGCCUUUGUGAUUUGGAGAUGCCAGAAGUAUCAAGGGUCUUGGAUAUAAAAAACCUUGGGACAGAUAUUUUGCAGCCUGAAGAGUCCUUUAUAGACCCUACUAUGAUACAAGCUUCAACCCUUCCCUUGUCCCUUCACAAUCAACCCUCUGAUAAGAUAGCUAACAUUGUAGAAACCCCACAUUUUGAGAUCCCAGGAGUGGGUGUCAUAUCUAAGAGGAUGGAUAAGAAGCAGGUGGAAAAGCUAGAGAAUUCACUCCAGCGCCUAUCCCAACAUCCACUGCAAAGCUGGCGAUCACCAUCUAGGACCUUCCAGUCAGGAUCAGGAACUCAAAGAGGCUUUACCUGGUCUGUCCUGGGCAGACAACAGAAUGUCUGGGAGAAUCACUCCUGGAGACAGCGACUACCUAGAAAAUAUCUCUCCAACAUGCUAAUGCUGGGGAAUGUCUUGGGAACCACUAUGGAAAGGAAGCUUUGUUCUCAAACAUCUUUAAGGGGAAGAGCGACUGAAGAUAUCUGUCAAUCUAUUCAGAAUUUAUUUGGGGUUCCAGCUGAACUGAUGGAAUUUUCCCAGAGUCUGCUAGAGAAGAGUCGAAGUAUUAUUUCUCAGACUUCAGUGUCCAAAAACUACAUUCAGAGACACACUUCAUGCCAUGGUCAUGAGCAAAGAAUAGCCUUAAGGAUGUGGACACGUAGCUCCCUGUCCUCCAUAAUACAGCAAUACUCUGGGACUAGAAUGAGAAUAAAGAAAAGUUCGAAGCUCAGUGAUAUAUCCCAGGAAGUCACUCAGCACAUGCCUGUUUUAUGUACAGGGGGCCAGCCUCCCGCCCCAGGAAGUUUAGAGUCUUCCUUCAACAUAGUUUUCACUGGGAAAGAUUCUGUUCCAGUGGAAGAGAGUGAGAACUCACAGAGUAAUUCACAGGCAAGGAUUUUUGAGUCCCAACAGUGUCUCAAGCCAAGUUAUCUUCCCCAGGCCAAGACUGACUUCUCAGAACAGUUCCAGUUGCUACAAGAUCUGCAGCUAAAAAUAGCAGCAAAACUGUUAAGGAGUCAAAUACCCCCAAAUGUACCUCCACCUCUAACUUCAGGUUUGGUUUUAAAAUACCCUAUCUGCCUACAGUGUGGCCGAUGUGUAGGAUUUAAUUGCUGUCAUAAAUUACAGGGCACUUUUGGGCCUUACCUUCUUAUCUAUCCACAGCUCCACCUUGUAAGCACUCCUGAAGGCCACGGAGAGAUUAGGUUGCAUCUUGGCUUUAGGUUGCGAACUGGAAAAAGAACCCAAGUCCCAAAGUACCACAAAAGAGACAGACCCAUCACACCAAGGAGUCCUAUAUCACCAUCACUAAGGAAAGCUAAAGUCUAUACUCGAGCUUCCAAGAGUCCUACUUCUACAAUAGAUUUCCAGUCUGGAUCUUCCCAAUCUCCUGUACAAGUCCACAUCAGGCAAAGGCAGUAUAUUGGCCCUGACCUAGGAAAGACAGAAAUUGGAGAGCUGGGGCACUAUGAAUUUACUCAAGUUCACUCUCUACCAGAGAGUGACUCUGAAAGCAAUCAGGAUGAAAAAUGGGCUAAAAGGAGAACCAAAAAGACCCAUAGUUCAAAAUACCCAACGAAAAGAAUCACUAAGGGAGGCAUAACACAAAACACAAAGUUCUACACGAAUGGUAGAACCACAAUACAGAGUCCUUCCAGGGACUUACCAGCCCAGUUAAGAAGGAAAAGGAAUGGAGCAUCUCACACAAUUACUGCCUCUUUAAAAAGACAAUCUAAGAAAUCCUCCCAACCCAAAUUCAUUCAGCUGCUUUUUCAAGGCCUAAAGCAAGCAUUCCAGGUAGCACACAGAAUUAUGGCUUUUGCUGGGCCAAAGCCUAAGGACAGGUCAAGGCCAGACCAUUUGCGCUCAAGCAAAAACCACCAUCUAAAACAAAAAGCCAGAGAUUAUUCCUUAUCAAGAGAUAUCAAAAGAGACAGGAUGCCAGUUGUUAAGCUAAAACCAACAGACAUAACCACUAAGCAGGAGAAGAUAUUAUGGGAAGAAACAGAGCAAUUCAGAUCAGCUCAACAACCAAAAAGAGAUAGCUCUUUCCAACUCAGACGUACCCAACUGCCCAAGCCCAUAGUUUCCCAAAGAAGUGCCAUUUUCAAAACCACUUCAGUCGGACAGUGUAUGGGUAUUGUUCAAAAUGACAGUAGCAGCAAAGCUAAGAAAAACUUCUGCAGAAGUGAAAUCUCUAGCCAGGAGUCCAAGAACUCCAAAACAGGGACCAGAGUUCAAGACCGAGGGAGAAAUCUACAUGGUUCACUUAAGAGAACCUCACAGAGUCACCUUAAAGAGAAACUCAUGCUCAAGAAGCGAAAACACCGUAGCUUCUUAAGGGAGAGAACCCCAUGUAAUUCCUCUGAAAGGAGCCAUCGCAGUCCCUCUGAGAGGAGAUGUCACAGUCCCUCUGAGAGAUGUCGCAGUCCCUCUGAGAGGAGCCAUCGAAGUCCUUCUCUAAAGAGCCACCAGAGUCCCUCUGAGGGGAGCCGUCGAAGUCCUUCUCUAAAGAGCCACCAGAGUCCCUCUGAGGGGAGCCGUCGAAGUCCUUCUCUAAAGAGCCACCAGAGUCCCUCUGAGAGGAGCCGUCAAAGUCCUUCUCUAAAGAGCCGUCACAGUCCCUCUGAGAGGAGCCAUCAGAGUCCCUCUGAGAAGAGAUGUCGCAGUCCCUCUGAGAGGAGAUGUCGCAGUCCCUCUGAGAGGAGCCAUCGAAGUCCUUCUCUAAAGAGCCAUCACAGUCCCUCUGAAAGGAGCCAUCGCAGUCCCUCUGAGAGGAGCCAUCGAAGUCCUUCUCUAAAGAGCCAUCACAGUCCCUCUGAGAGGAGCCGUCGAAGUCCUUCUCUAAAGAGCCACCAGAGUCCCUCCGAGAGGAGCCGUCGAAGUCCUUCUCUAAAGAGCCACCAGAGUCCCUCUGAGAGGAGCCGUCGAAGUCCUUCUCUAAAGAGCCACCACAGCCCCUGUGAGAGGAGACAUCGACAUCCUUCUCUAAAGAGCCAUCACAGUCCCUCUGAAAGGAGCCAUCAGAGUCCCUCUGAGAAGAGAUGUCGCAGUCCCUCUGAGAGGAGCGCAAGCCAUCACAGUCCCUCUGAAAGGAGCCAUCAGAGUCCCUCUGAGAAGAGAUGUCGCAGUCCCUCUGAGAGGAGCCAUCGAAGUCCUUCUCUAAAGAGCCAUCACAGUCCCUCUGAAAGGAGCCAUCAGAGUCCCUCUGAGAAGAGAUGUCGCAGUCCCUCUAAGAGGAGAUGUCACAGUCCCUCUGAGAGGAGCCAUCGAAGUCCUUCUCUAAAGAGCCACCAGAGUCCCUCUGAGAGGAGCUGUCAAAGUCCUUCUCUAAAGAGCCACCAGAGUCCCUCUGAGAGGAAUCAUCGAAGUCCUUCUCUAAAGAGCCGUCACAGUCCCUCUGAAAGGAGCCAUCAGAGUUCCUCUGAGAAGAGAUGUCGCAGUCCCUCUGAGAGGAGAUGUCGCAGCCCCUCUGAGAGGAGAUGUCACAGUCCCUCUGAGAAGAGCCAUCGCAGUCUCCUUCAGAAAACUCAUCACAGUCCCUUAGAGGGGAGAGGACACAGCCCUUUUGAGAGAAGACAGCACAGGCCCUCUGAGAGGAGCGGUCGCAGUUCCUCAGACAGAAAUCAUUGUAGUCUCUCUGAAAGAAGCGGACACAGGCACUCUGAGAGGAGCAGACACAGUCAUUCUGAGGAGAGCCAACACAGCCACUCUGAAAGGGGCCAACAUAGUUGGUCUGACAAAACCCAUCUCAGUCCCUCUGAGAGAACGCGUCACAGUCCCGCUAAGGAGAGACUCAAGCACAGCUCCCCUAGGGAGAGGCUCAGACAUAGUCUGUCUAAAGAUUGCAAGGGUUACUCAAACACAUCUCCUAGGGACCACACACAAAAUACUCCAAAGCAGGGCAAGUUUAGAGGCCUGAAGCUAACAGAUGA